rnacentral:rRNA from 1 species
GACGAACGCUGGCGGCGUGCUUAACACAUGCAAGUCGAACGAUGAAACCUAGCUUGCUAGGUCGAUUAGUGGCGAACGGGUGAGUAACACGUGACUAACCUGCCCCUUUCUCUGGGAUAACGCUCCGAAAGGAGUGCUAAUACCGGAUACUCACACCGAGGCACAUGCCUUGGUGUGGAAAGUUUUUCGGAAAGGGGUGGAGUCGCGGCCUAUCAGCUUGUUGGUGAGGUAACGGCUCACCAAGGCGACGACGGGUAGCCGGCCUGAGAGGGCAACCGGCCACACUGGGACUGAGACACGGCCCAGACUCCUACGGGAGGCAGCAGUGGGGAAUAUUGCACAAUGGGCGCAAGCCUGAUGCAGCGACGCCGCGUGAGGGAUGAAGGUCUUCGGAUUGUAAACCUCUUUCAGUAGGGACGAAGCGAAAGUGACGGUACCUAAAGAAGAAGCACCGGCUAACUACGUGCCAGCAGCCGCGGUAA